UUACGAGGUCAGGACACUGUGAGGAUUGACAGAUUGAAAGCUCUUUCUUGAUUCAGUGGGUGGUGGUGCAUGGCCGUUCUUAGUUGGUGGAGUGAUUUGUCUGGUUAAUUCCGUUAACGAACGAGACCUUAACCUGCUAAAUAGUCACGCGAACCGGUCCGCAAGGGCUCAAAGUUCGCGGCUCGACUUCUUAGAGGGACUAUUCGCACCCGCCAGCGGAUGGAAGUUUGAGGCAAUAACAGGUCUGUGAUGCCCUUAGAUGUUCUCGGCCGCACGCGCGUUACACUGACGGAGUCAACGAGCGUUUUUCCUUGCCCGACAGGGCUGGGUAACCUCCUGAAACUCCGUCGUGAUGGGGAUAGAUCAUUGCAAUUAUUGAUUUUGAACGAGGAAUUCCUAGUAAGCGCGAGUCAUCAACUCGCGCUGAUUACGUCCCUGCCCUUUGUACACACCGCCCGUCGCUCCUACCGAUUGAACGGUCCGGCGAGAACUCCGGAUGGUC
rnacentral:rRNA from 1 species